ensembl:snRNA U2 U2 spliceosomal RNA
GUCUCUUUUUGGCCUUUUGGCUAAGAUGAAGUGUUAGUAUCUGUUCUUAUCAGUUUAAUAAGUACUGAAAUUAACCUUACAUUUACAGAUAACGUCUAUACUUAGAGAAAGAACAUCU